ACUCUCUUAGUAUUCAAUCAGUACAGCUGACUUCCAAUCAGCUAG
rnacentral:tRNA from 1 species